CAAAUAAUGUGCCUUUUGGGUCAUCCAAAUGUUACCUCUUUGAAGCAUUGUUUCUUUUCCACAACUGGGAAAGAUGAGCUCUAUUUUACUCUGGUGCUUGAGUUUGUCCCUGAAACUGUUCACCGUGUCAUCAGACACUACAACAAGAAUUCCAUUGAUAUAUGUCGGAUAAGCUUUCUGGAAGAAUAUCGAACUAUUAAAGCUUGUGAAAAGAUUUGCGACAUUACUCACUCUUAUCUUGGUCCUAAUGAUUCACAGGGAAGAUGGAGAACUUGAAUUGAAACUGAAGUGAUAAGUAAAGUGACAUUUUCUGCUCUUUAGGACCUUUUAAACAGCAGCAUCAAGCGAGUUUCACGCUUCUCCAAGACCUUUAGUUAUGAAGGAAAUCAAGAAGAUAAGCUAAUAGUCGGUAAUCUGGAUCUUCAAGUCAUUGGACGCAAAGCUUGAGUUAAUGGUGUCCUUGGCAGACUUUGAAGAUUCUAAAUUGCCAUGGCACGAGCACGAUAUUGAAGAUUCUAGAACUUGUUCUUCAAACUGAGAAAUUCUUCAGUAAGCUCAUCAAGAAAGAGAUUACACUUCAAAGACCCAAAUCAUCAUCUAAUUUUAAUCAAGUUGAAGAUUCUGGAACGAGUUAUUCAGUAUGAUUUUCUUUAACUUGAUCUAUUUUAAUCAAAUUUUGUUCUGCUUAAAUAUUGUUAAUAUAAUCUUGUUAUUGUUCUUUGAUGAUUUCUCUCAAUUGAAUUCUGCUUUUCCAAUUUUCUUGGUUGGUUAUACCUUCGAAAUGACUUAUUAAUGGCUAAUUUAAAGAAAGAAGUGAAUGGGUGUUUGAUUAUUAGUUCAUUCAACUUGCAUAAUGUAGAAAUGUUGAAUAUUUGCUUGUUGUAUGUUUUGAUUUUCUGCUUAGUAUCAGAAUCUCGGUGAUGUUCUUUGAUUAUCUUUUGUUAAUACGAUAAUUUUCAUGCUCUCCCUGUUCAAUUGGUUAUGAUGAUUUAUCCAUGGGGAGUUAAGAGAAAGAAGUAGGUGGGCAAUAUGUUUAUUAAAUUGGUGGUGAGAGGGCGAGUAGAGUGAGAAUUUGACCAAGCAAAAGAUGAGUUUAAUCAUUUUAUAAAUUUCUAUUUUUUAUACUGUUUAAUCAAUCUCAAAUGCCAUC